UACGUAGGUGGCAAGCGUUGUCCGGAUUUACUGGGCGUAAAGAGCGCGCAGGCGGUCGUUCAAGUCGCGUGUGAAAGCCCCCGGCUCAACUGGGGAGGGUCACGCGAUACUGAUCGACUCGAAGGCAGGAGAGGGUAGUGGAAUUCCCGGUGUAGUGGUGAAAUGCGUAGAUAUCGGGAGGAACACCAGUGGCGAAGGCGACUACCUGGCCUGUUCUUGACGCUGAGGAGCGAAAGCUAGGGGAGCAAACGGG
rnacentral:rRNA from 1 species